GAUGAACGCUGGCGGCGUGCCUAAUACAUGCAAGUCGAGCGAACGGACGAGAAGCUUGCUUCUCUGAUGUUAGCGGCGGACGGGUGAGUAACACGUGGAUAACCUACCUAUAAGACUGGGAUAACUUCGGGAAACCGUAGCUAAUACCGGAUAAUAUUUUGAACCGCAUGGUUCAAAAGUGAAAGACGGUCUUGCUGUCACUUAUAGAUGGAUCCGCGCUGCAUUAGCUAGUUGGUAAGGUAACGGCUUACCAAGGCAACGAUGCAUAGCCGACCUGAGAGGGUGAUCGGCCACACUGGAACUGAGACACGGUCCAGACUCCUACGGGAGGCAGCAGUAGGGAAUCUUACGCAAUGGGCGAAAGCCUGACGGAGCAACGCCGCGUGAGUGAUGAAGGUCUUCGGAUCGUAAAACUCUGUUAUUAGGGAAGAACAUAUGUGUAAGUAACUGUGCACAUCCUGACGGUACCUAAUCAGAAAGCCACGGCUAACUACGUG
rnacentral:rRNA from 1 species